GCACGCUGCAUUUUUUUUUUUUGCAGCGUGCGAGGCACAACCUCAAUGCCCAUCGGAUGGCUAAGAUAAGGGGCUGAGAGGAGGUUGAUUGCUGGCCAUUGAGAGCAGGUUUAGGGGAUUGGGAGAUGGUACAAAAAGGAAAGAAGACAUCAGCCGCAAGGAGAGCUUCAUCGUGGGGAGAGUUUUGCAGCUAACGGGAGCGAAAAAAAAAAAACGGGAACAAAACUGGACAGAGGGGAGAGCAAGGGGAGAGCUGAGGCUUCGGUGGGCUAAGGAAAGAAACCAGAAAAACGGAGAGGAGGAGCUUUGAGAGGAAAAAGAAAAGAAAGGGCAAGGUGGCGGCUGAAG
rnacentral:lncRNA from 1 species